GUAUGUUCUCACAGACCUGGAUAUGAAAUACAGGCAGCUGUGGUGACCACGAUGAAAUCUCAGUUUAAUGAAAGAAAAGAUCACAAAAUGUUAUCACCACUGACUUGAGCUGGCUGCACACUCACGACCCUCGGAGCACUCAGGCCUGUAUGAGACAAACCAGCUGUGCCAAAUCCUGAACUGAAGCCUUUCCAUGAGGUUCAUCUGUUUUAGAUCAAAGGGCUAUAGGGCAGCUCUCAUUGCAGAGUACUGGGAAAAGAAAAGAAUCCUUAAACCUUUUGAUUCCCGUGGUCCUUCAAGCUCCAGAUAAAUUAAAAUAUUUAAUCAAAAUCUAA